rnacentral:rRNA from 1 species
CAAAGGGGCUUGCCUCAGUACGGCGAGUGAAGCGGCAACAGCUCAAAUUUGAAAUCUGGCCCCAGGCCCGAGUUGUAAUUUGCAGAGGAUGUUUCUGGCGAGGUGCCUUCCGAGUUCCCUGGAACGGGACGCCAUAGAGGGUGAGAGCCCCGUACGGUUGGUCGCUAAGCCUCUGUGAAACUCCUUCGACGAGUCGAGUAGUUUGGGAAUGCUGCUCUAAAUGGGAGGUAUACGUCUUCUAAAGCUAAAUACCGGCCAGAGACCGAUAGCGCACAAGUAGAGUGAUCGAAAGAUGAAAAGCACUUUGAAAAGAGGGUUAAAUAGUACGUGAAAUUGUUGAAAGGGAAGCGCUUAUGACCAGACUUGGACCGGUUGAUCAUCCAUCGUUCUCGGUGGUGCACUCUGCCGGUUCAGGCCAGCAUCAGUUUGUCCCGGGGGAUAAAGGCUUUGGGAAUGUGGCUCCUCCGGGAGUGUUAUAGCCCACUGUGUAAUACCCUGGGAUAGACUGAGGUUCGCGCUCCGCAAGGAUGCUGGCGUAAUGGUCAUCAGCGACCCGUUAGAAAAAGGGGGGAAAAAAAAAAAAAAAAAAAAAACCAAAAAAAAAAGAAAAAC